rnacentral:rRNA from 1 species
CCUGCCAGUAGUCAUAUGCUCAGUUCAAGGGCUAAGCCAUGCAUGUCUCAGUGUACACGGAUUGAGAGUGGGUCUGUGAAUGGCUCCUUACAUCAGCAGUCAUCUCUGUGAUAGAGUGUGGAUGAUGCCAGACUUCUGCCCAGGCGUCCCAUGGACAUCCUCCAAAACCUGGUGGCUAAUACACGGAAGCAACAGUCCCCUGUGGAAGCAUCACAUGGCCUUUGGAAUGCCCCUCCCUGCUGACAAGGGCCCAGCAGUGGAUUGCAGCCAGCCGCCUGGAAGACCAAGCGCCUGGCCAAAGGCAGUGUGCCCCAUUGUGGUUGACUCAGGCUGGUCCCCCGUGUGGACACCUGCCCUGGCAGCAUCCGAACGGUGGGGCAACCCCUCACUGCUGGCUUGAUCACAAGAACUUCUGACCUAUCAGCCUGGACUGUGGUGUAGUGGACCACAGUGGCCAUCACGGGUAACGGAGAAUCUGGGUUUGAUUCCGGAGAGGGAGCCUGAGACAUGGCUACCACUACCAAGGUGGGCAGCAGGCACGCAAAUUGCCCAAUACAGACACAUCCCUGUGAGGCAGCGACGAACCGCAACAAUCUUGCCAGGCUCUUUCUCAUCAAAGCCAGCGGGAUCUGUAAUGGAUGCUAUCCAAACCCAGUGAUGAGUACCAACUGGAGGGCAAGUCUGGUGCCAGCAGCUGCGGUAAUUCCAGCUCCAAGGGCGUAUACUAACAUUGCUGCUGUUAAAACACUUGUAGUCUGCCACUGGGUCGCAGGUCUGCUGGGCGGCCAACGGUGCCUGGUCUGUGUCUCCCCCGUGGGGGCACGGCCGGGUGCAGUUGGGACACAACCCCUGGCAGUAUGCUCCUGCACCCACACGCUUGUCACUCGAUGGUGAAACCUGCCCCUGCAAGGAGUCCCCUUCAGUGGGGGCCCCGAACAGCAACACAGCCCACGCUUGUCAAGGCCUUCAGGGACACAGCCCACAGCGCUGUGCAGCCUCCCCAGCCUGCUACCGGGGUCCACCAUUGCAGUCACCUUGGAUAACUCAGUGUGCUCAAAGCAUCCAUCCCUGGCAGGAUGUCCAUCCGCGGAAUGACAAAGCACCGCCCAGAUGGGCCACGGAGUUGUGCUGGCCUUGGAGCCCAUGCAGGACAAUCUGAUGCUGUGAGAUGGCACCUAGCUUGCCCCACUGGGGGCCCCUGCUGAGUGGUCCUCCACCCUCUCCUUGGGUGCGGCCACCUGCAGCGGGCCACCAGAGGUGGCACUAUGUCAGGCUAUGCAAGUCAUUGACUGGAGAUGAUGGGACCACUCAAGGUGGAAGAUAUUGGUGCGCCAGAGGUGAAAUUCUUAGACCGCAGCAAGAUCCCCUGCGGCGAAGGCGUUCUGCUUGUCUGGAUUCGUCGAUCAAGAAUGAGAGCCUGGGGAGCAAAGGUGAUUAGACACCUCCGUAGUCCAGAGCCGUAAACCAUGCCAGCUGGGUGAUGAUGGGUGAUGCAAGGCAGCCCCACCGCCACCUAUGCUACAAUCCCCUGCAAAGAGAAAUCCAAGCCCUUGGGUUCAGGGGGGAGUACUGCUGCAAGGCUGAAACUUAAAGGAAUUGACGGAAUGGCACCACAAGGCGUGGAGUAUGCGGCUUAAUUUGACUCAACACGGGGAAGGUUACCAGGUCAGGACGUGGCUGGGAUGGACAGACUGAGAGCUCUUUCUUGAUGCCAUGGAUGGUGGUGCAUGGCCGCUCCUGAUUGGUGGAGUGAUUUGUCUGGUUGAUUCCGGUAACGAGUGAGACAUCUACCUCCCACUAGCUCCUGCCUCGCAGCACAACCCAUGUAGGGUGGAUGGCUACACCUCCUCUCCAGCGUUGCCCCUCACCGGGCUCCCCUGGGAGGCAGCCCCAAUGGGGAUUGGGAGACUCUCCCAUGUGUGCCAAGAUCCCCCGAGAGUGCAGGGUCUCAACACAAGCUUCUCUGAGGUGCUGGGCGUUACUAUCCCUUCAGCGCCAGCAUGCGAGAUACAACAGCAGGUCUGUGAUGCUCCCAGAUGUCCUGGGCCGCACGCGCACUACAUUGACACAGCCAGGGUGUCUGAUCCAAGAGUGCUCUUAGCACUGGAUUGCCCUGAGGAGGGUGAGAAACCAUGCCAGACUGUGUUGUCCUGGGGAUAGAUGAUUGCAACUGUCUGCCUUGAACGAGGAAUGCCUUGUAAGUGCCUGUCAUCAGCAGGCCCUGAAUACGUCCCUGCCAUUUGUACACACCGCCCGUCGUUGCUACCGAUGGAGUUGGGGCAGAGCCAUCCGGAGGUGCCACACCCCCUCCUCCCCUCACAGGGAGAGGGCCUGGUGUGAGCCAAACUUGGGCAAUGUCAAGAGUCUAGAGAAGCAAAAGUCGUAACAAGGUUGCUGUAGGUGAA